rnacentral:tRNA from 1 species
GCGUCUGUAGCCUAGUUGGUAAAGGCAGCACUCUAGUAAUGUUGAGGUCAUGGGUUCGACCCCCAUCAGACACA